GCUACUCUACAUAAGAGGUGAAGGCCCGAGAGCAUAGCAAACAGAGCAUAGCGACAGGGAUAGCAAACAGGAUGUAGGAGUUUUGCAGGAGUUUAGUGGGAAGUGUGCGGGGAAGCCUGGAACAAGCCCCUGCGAUCACAAGGAUCACAAGGAGCCUGGUGGAGAAGAGAACGUUGGACCACAUGGCCUUGAAGGAGAGGUAGAAAAGCUUUUAAUGCCAGGAACACAACUAGAAGAUGUAAGAAGUUGAAGUGUAAGCGAGACCACAAUCCCUGCACUCGGUGUUUCCCACAAUGAGUUCCCCAUCUUGUCAGAGAAGCAUCUAUGGUGACCCAGAUUGAUGGAGUUGGAAUCUGCAGAAGGAUACUGGUUUAGCCAUGGUCUGGCAAACUAAUCAAAGAUGCUGCUUAGAUGUCUCAGGUUGUUUGUUACAAUCGUGUUGUCAGUUUCAUCGCUGAAGAGGCCUUUCCCAUCAAAAGAAGUUAUAUGACGUCACACAAUCUAUCACCGAAGAAUUGCAGACAGGAUGCUAGCAAACUCACAAAAAAGGGAAAAAAAAAUUUCUGAACUGAAGAGAAGCCAAACGAUGAGGUCUUGACACUGAAGCGGAACUGGCAAAAUGAAGCCCAAGCCUCCUCAUAUCGGGCAUGCCGAGUACGUGAUGCAGAACGCAGGUGUGACACAAGGAGCUAUAGCAUUCCACCUGCGAGAUCAUGCGCAGAACCCCAUACUUAUGGAUGGCCAAUGGAUCAUGAUCCAGAUCUACCAAAUACUCCAGCUAUCAAAUUCCUAGAGCUUAUGUCUGAAGCUAAACUCAUAAAGAAAUCACACAACCUGAACUAAGCAACAUUUCUCAAAUGCAGCCAGUUUAUUGAGAAAUAGCUUCAAAUGUCACAUCCCUCUCCUCCAAGCCUCCACGAGGAGAAAUAUGCUGCAGAUUAAAAGUGGCUGCUUGGGAUGCAAGACAGGAUGGAAGAGGCUAAGAAGUAGGAAAGGCUGAGAGAAAAGGGAUACACAAGCAUAAGAGAGUAAGAAUAGCAAGUCAAGUCUGGGGAAUCAAGCACCGACAGAAACAAAGGUUGGGAAGGAUUUAAGUUCUGGUUCUGGUUCUUAGAUUAAUGUAAUGAAUAGAGAUGCUGAGUAGUGGAAAUAGCCAUUUACAGACUUGUGUGAAGAAGAAACAACCAGAUAUUUUGGAACAUACACAAAAGUUUACAUUUACAUCCUAUUUGUAAGGAAACUCUAUUAUGUAUAGCAGCUCUCGGGCUCUAUGUUUCAGAGUGAAAUGCAUCAAGCAUCUUGCUGAUUUCCUUUGCAUGAUGAGGUUUUGCUAUCUGCAUGGCUAGAGUGUAAUAUGCACUGGAUAGCAGAAUAUUCUCCAAAUGAAUCAAGGAGUCUCCACUCUCCUUAAAGAACAUUAUCUCUAACCAGGAAGAAAAGCUUGUAGGAAAUAAAGCUUGAAACACUUCUGCUAAGGCAAUGGUUCCCAAACUUUGAUAGGUGGCAUACCCCUCAUGACACCUCAGACAACUGCAAGUACUGCCCCCACCACCUCACACUCACUCUCUUUGUGCAAGGAUGGAUCAUCUCAACAGUUAAGCAACAUAGAAGAGAGGGGCUUGAAACAGAUAGUGGCUGGCCUGUAGGGAAAUACAAGGUGCCCCUGGGGAAGUCCUCAAGUAUCACCCAGGGAUAAAAACCACAAUUUUGGAAUAAUUGCACUAAGGUGUUGGAAUGCAAGCCAUUCAAACUGGACUUCAGUGGUUAAAAGGUGCAAAUGUUUUAAUUUGUGCAGUUCUAGCCUGACAUGCCAUGAAUUCCAACUUGUAUUGUUCAAUCCUUAAACAUAUUCAGAGACAAAGUCUAAGCUUGGUUUCAUAGCCAAAGUAUGAGAUAUGCAGUCUUACAUACAUGUAGUUCACUGGCAUGUUUCAAUCAUGCUGGGCUUCCAGUGUAGUGUGCCUUUUUCUCCAGAAAAAAAUACAUAGAUAUAUACAGUACAUAUAUAAAAGCUUUGUUGCUCAAUGUCAAAAGGCCACCACAAUCCAUCUCCAGGAGGCCCACACAAUCUGAAAAGGUCCAGCAUGAACAGGGUUGGGGUGGAAAGCUGAGGCAAUCAAUUUCCUCAAUUUCACUUGCCUUCUCUCCUCCUAUAGGUCAGUGGAUCCCACUGAUUUUAUGGGAAAGGUCUAUGUGGCUACAAUGGAGAAUAACCUUUUUUCCUUUAAAGGAAAAAGGAAGCGAAUUAUCAUCAGGCCUGUGUUAUCGGAGAACAAAGUGACAUUAUCUGUGUUACUUAUGUUAAUUGUGAUAUUAUCUCAUCACAGGAUCUGCCUUUCUUAAGAACAGAACUUUGGCCUCCCUUAUUAGAUUAUAGGGACUUUGUUUUGCUUAAUACAUUUUCAAUAGUCACCUAUAGUAAGAAAUAUUAAUUUUUUAUUUUAUUUUCUAUGAACUCCAUCGCAUACACACAGUACUUCAAACCAGUGUAUGAGUAUUCUUACCAGCACU